rfam:Capsella rubella cultivar Monte Gargano unplaced genomic scaffold scaffold_2, whole genome shotgun sequence.
GAGCUGUGAGGAAAUUGGCUACAGCGAUGGUUGGGUCCUUCGCAUUCUUCUGACUUAUCAGAUGAUAUAUGGCCGCCAGUCUGAGCUC